GCUGGUGUGUGUUUGGCGAGAGUCUGAAAUGGCCCCGUGAUGUGGGGAGAACUACUGGAAGUUCCAUCCACCUCGCGGACUCGAUGACCCGGCCAUCCCACAUCCUGUUUGUCCAAGAUAGGGGGGAACUUGUGUUCAACGAGACUUUAUUUUAGGAAAGAAGGACAAGGAAGGAGAUGGACCAGCAGGAGAGCCGGCAGAGGAACUGCUCCCCUGGACCCCUUGGCCGCGAAGAGGCACAGCUUCUACCUCAUGGAGAAUCGAUGCAAAGUGGACUUACGGGGACGUAAGACCGUGGGCCUCGACGCAAAGGACAAAGUUAGUGUCUUUAAUCUGCAUUCGGGGAAUUCUCCAUCCCGCACCGGCUGAGUCCAGAGAAACUGGAAAACGGAAAAAGUGUCGAAGUUCUUUGUACAUGUGCUGGCAAACUUUGGAGGAUUGCUUGGUCUUGUGACAGGAUAUUUAUUAUGGGGUUUGGGGACGGGGGUGGCUUAGGAUGAGGUAAGUGCUUGUUUAUGCAGCAUUUAUCUCAUGCACAGCUUAACUUCAUAAUCGAGACAAAUGUAUUAAUGCAUUUUUAAAAUGAAAAUUGAUGUUAAGACAUCCAUAAAGAAUUAAGCAUCAAAGCUAAAUAAAGACAAGAUGGGUAACA
rnacentral:lncRNA from 1 species